AUUGAACGCUGGCGGCAGGCCUAACACAUGCAAGUCGAAUGGUAACAGGAAACAGCUUGCUGUUUCGCUGACGAGUGGCGGACGGGUGAGUAAUGUCUGGGAAACUGCCUGAUGGAGGGGGAUAACUACUGGAAACGGUAGCUAAUACCGCAUAACGUCGCAAGACCAAAGAGGGGGACCUUCGGGCCUCUUGCCAUCAGAUGUGCCCAGAUGGGUUUAGCUAGUAGGUGGGGUAACGGCCCACCUAGGCGACGAUCCCUAGCUGGUCUGAGAGGAUGAGCAGCCACACUGGAACUGAGACACGGUACAGACUCCUACGGGAGGCAGCAGUGGGGAAUAUUGGACAAUGGGCGCAAGCCUGAUCCAGCCAUACGGCGUGGAUGAAGAAGGCCUUCGGGUUGUAAAGCCCUUUUGUUGGGAAAGAAAAGCAGCAGGUUAAUACCCCGCUGUUCUGACGGUACCCAAAGAAGAAGCACCGGCUAACUUCGUG
rnacentral:rRNA from 1 species